AAAAACAAUGUAUCUCUAGUAAAUUAGACAUUUGGUGCAAGAAAUAGAUAUAGGAUACCAGAUGGGAUCCUCUGUCACACAAUUUAGUUUGUACCACCAUGUACCACUCUUAAUUUGUCUAUUUUAUAAUUGUUUGUUAUAAAAAUAAAAAACAUUAUUAUAUUAUGAAAUCUAAUUAAUAUUUAUCAUUAAAAAUUAAAAUUUUAAAAAAAUAUAUACUCUAACUUUGAAUUAUUUAACCCAAAUAAUCAAUUAUUAAUUCAAAUAAAUAUAAAAAAAUAAUUUUAAACCAUAAUUGUAUGAGUGAACCCUUGUUAAUUAUCUUUUUAUUAUAUUAAAGCAUGACAAAUUAAAAAUAAAAAAAAUAUAAUUAAAAAUUAUAAGAAAUUAAGAAUGGUACACACUAAAUUGUGGGACAAAAGAUCUCAUCUGAUAAGAUACAUAUAUAUAUAUCCUGAUGAAUUAUAAAUCCAAGAAAUAAUAUGUAAAAUUUCAUAGGAGUAUCUUUUUUUUAGGCUGUAAAAUUUCAUAUCUUAUUCAUCUUAAUCUAAUAUCAUUUGUAGUCAACUUAGCUCCACAUACCUAUGUCAAAUCGUAUUUUUCCAUACACAUAUACAGACAUUAUGGUCAACACUCAGAAAAUGUCAGCCAUUUUAAAUUUCAUUGAUAGUUGAAUAUAAAAGUGGAAAGUUUUGGAUGGGUUAGUAAAUUUGUUCCCCAAAUUCAGACUUUAGAGAUGUGAAAAUUCAAACUGCUAAAUAGAGUAACAUAUAUACCGAAAAAGGAUAAUAAACAAGUGAAAAACAACCAUGUCACUGCAAGGAAACCUACAAAACUAAGAACCAUGCAUCCAGGAAAAAAUGAUAAUUACAAAAAAAACAAUAUCCAUAUUAGAUAUAGAAUCCGUUUGAUUAAUAGGAAUUAAAAGGAAAGAUAGAAUUUUUGAACAAAUAUAAUUGUCACGCGCGUUCCAACAAUUCUUUGAAUUCACACAGAUUAUAUUUUUCUAAUUUUCAUGUUUGAUUCAUCAGUAGAGGGCAGGCGAACGAUGACAAUAUCUAAAUCGUACACAACAAAAUCAGUAUCGUGGUUCGAAAAAUCCUACUAAUUAUAUUCGAUAAACUUAAUUAUGAAGAUAUGAAGAAAUAGUGUAUUACAGAAUUGAGGAUAAAAUUAAGUCAAUAUACUGCUUCUCUUUUGGUUGUAUAUGCAUAGAUUUGUUACCUCGCGCGUGAAGAGAAUAAGAACAAGAGUGUAAGAAUUAAAUAAAACUUUAUGAACAGAGUUAAAGAAAUAAUUCAAACUAGAAAAAGAAAAAGUACUACAGCUAGCUAAGGUUUUGCGCUUUAUUAUUUUUAAUAUUAAUUCAGGCUUUUGAUUUUUGUGUUUUUCUCUGACCUUUUGUUUCAGUAUCCCAUCAACGAAAUCUCGCAAAAUAAAAAAGAUUAAAACACGGAUUAUAAGAAAAUUUAACGAAAUAAAAAGAAAAGAGGAAAAGCAAAAGCUGCCACACAAUUAAGAAGCCUUUUAUUGUUCAAAAAUGGUGGACGUGAGAGUUGGCAUUUUGUAAAUUACCAUGCAACAGGAAAAGGAAAAAUGUUUAAUAUUAAUAUGAGUAUGAUUAUAUUGUUGGUGUGGUACCUGGAUGAGUUGCUCCACAAUGUAGAGGCGGCGGUGGAUGGAUACUCAGCAUCUUGCGGCGAAGAUUCAUCGGACGUGAGUCCUCUUUGAUCCAUGAACAGCCGCAGUCCCGCCACGUCGCCGCCGAGAUCGUCCUCGCCGGACCCAUCUGCGUGUGCGUGUGAUUUAUUAUAUAGCUACGAAAUUAAUUAAUUAAAAGGGUAGAAUUUAAGCUAUUAUGUACCUGAGGAAGCUGCAGGUUUGUCAGUGGUUUUAACAGUUCGAUACAUCUGCAAUGGAACGCAAUUUAAUUUAUAGUAAAAGAAAAAAAGUAGUUGUCUCUCUAAAGAGUGUAGUGAAGAAGAAGAAGAAUAAGAAGGUAGUGUUGUUUGUGCGUCAUGUCUUGGUUUCAUCAUUAAUCACGAGGUCCAUGUUUGAUAAGGUAAUAGUUAUGAGCUGUAUUAUUGACAAAUUAUGACUUUGUCUCUCUUCUUUUAUUGAUUCACUCUCUCUCUUCUCGUUACGAACCCCAACACUUCCUUCCCAUUCAUUCAUUCACUCUGCAUUCAUCGGCUACUGUGCCGGAGCCACAGACGGACUCCCAACCCCCCACCAGACAUCACUCUCUCUCUCUCUCUCAUUAUUUUGGCUUGAUUGUACUAAUUCCUUUUCUUUAAUUUCUAUUUACUUUUCCCCGUAGCUGGCUAACUAAUUGUUUUUAAUUAGUGUAGCUACCUGCAAAUGGCUCUUGACAUGAGCUAGAGUGAGAUCUUUGACAUCCAUGAGCUCAAGUACCGACUUCGGAGUAGCCCCUACAUUCACCCAAAAAACAAUAUAGUACAAUAAUUAAUUUCCACACGAUGUAUCAAUAAAUCCAAAAUGACAAAAAAGAAAAAGAAAAAAUGAAUUGAGAGAUACUUUCAUGGCCGCCGAGGAGCUCAACUGCAUGAACGAAGCGCGCGUGGAGCGUACUCGUCCAGCGCAUUCGCGGCGCUCUCAUGCUGCGCUUGGCCGGCAGGCGCGGCAGAAACCUGGAUCUGAUGAUCCCAUGAGGAGAAGAAGGGUCGUGAUGAUACGACGGCGUGAGGCCAUUAUACCUGGCUGUCCUGUAGGGCGGCAGCGACGACGAGGAGGAGGCGUUGCCCAGGAACGGCAUUGUUGUUGUUGAUCCAGCAAGUAAGGCGAAGACGGGUAGGGCAUUUGAUAGAAGCACAUCUUUGGUCCUUGGCGUCGUGCGGCAAGAAUGGGAAGGGCCGGUUCGGGUACACCGGGAUGCCCUUGAUGGGAACCGAGACGCCGUGGUAGGGUUUUGUGGGUAUCGAAUUCCGCCGCCUCUCUGCGCCUCGCCGCCGGAGCUCUUUGCUAGAUCGGACAUAGUGUUGCAGAUUGUUGGUGGAGUUGCGUUUGGUGGGCUGAUUUGGAGAGAUAGAUCGGGAGCUGCUUUUGAAUUCGACUCCAUGAAAAUCCCUUCCAAGGGCAUUUUUAUUUCUUUUUUUCAAUUGUAACAAUUGGUGGGAGCAGAGAUUCUCAAAGACCAGUGGAAGAUUUGUAGUAACUGAUAAAAGUGUGGAAAAGAAAUGACCUAGGUUUUCUACAAAGGCUUAAAGAGAUAUAUAAUCUGCGUACGUCGAGUAAAGCAAAGAGUACAAGCUCUCUCACUUUAUCUGCUAGCUUCAACAAAAUCAAAUUUUAUGUCAGGCUUCAGACACAAAAAGAAGACGGCACAAAACCUCCAACCUAGCUUAUGUUUCUGUUUCAGAUUUGUUUGGAGGGGCUAAAAUUCUUCUGAAAAUAGUGAAAAGACAAUCUUGUUGUUCAGAAGGAAAAAAUGAGGAAAAACCUUAAAAGAAAAGGAGUGCUCAAAGAAGAAGAUAUGGUGCAAGAAUAUGAGAGGAAUUCCAGAAAUGAAUGGAAAGGAAGGAGGGGUGGGGUGGGGAUGGAUUUUGUGUCUGUGUAAUUCCUCGAGAGUAUAUCUUGGAAAAUGACACUAGAAGAGAGAGAGAGAGAGAGGCUGUGCUUCAGUAGUCAAAACACGCAAUGAAUCACAGAUAAGAUGUAAUAGAAACAAGAUAGGGAAAUUAUUGGAGUAUUACAAAAUGAUAAAGAAAAAGAUAAAAAUUGUCAUUUCUUUCGCAUAAUUUUCCUUCCCCGUAGACGACGGGUUAAAAAUUCUUGAAACAGAAAGUAACACCUCUUCUAUGAUUCCCUUUCCCCUACGCUCUCUCUCUCCUGUUUCUCUCUCUUACCCAAUACAGACAUAGACAUACGGACACAAAAAAUACACACACGAACACACAUUAUUGUUUCUUUUCUGUUUAACUCAGCUUGGAAGGUCAUUAAAGAAAUCCCAUUUUCGUGUUAGCCAUGGGCCACACCGCACUGCCACAUCUUCUUCCUAGAUUAAACUGCUUUUUUCCAUCACUUUUCUUUUUCUACUCACUUUUCAUUUUUUUAGCUUUACAAAUUAAUAAACUCUUCAUGCCUUCGCCUAAACAAUUAUCUUACUUUUUCAAAAAUUACAUACCUUCCUCAUUUAUUUUCAACAUCGUCUUCAAUUUGUAAUUAACUAUUUAUUCAUUCGCUUCAUUUUAAUUAUUGUCAUAUGAUCUCUUAAUUAAUAUUUGUGUUUUGUCAUCACUUCUCAAUAUAAUUUAUUAUUUAUUUAUUUUAGGAAAAUACAUAAAAAUAAAUUGUACACAGUAUAUUUUGAUCAAAAAUAUCAAACAAUAUUUUAUUACUUUGUUUUUUUUUUUCUCGCAGAAUAUAUCAUGUCCAAUUAAUUAAUAUUUGUAUCGGCUAGCUAUUGAGCUAUGACAGUUCUAAUUUUGAUAUAAAAUACACUAUCCGUCCCAAUUAAUUUGCUUAAUAUUCAUUUCGGCGUUCUAAUUAAGUUGAUCAAUUUUCUUAUAUGAACAUUUAAUUAUUUAUUACUUUAUUAUUAAAUAUAUUUAAAAUAUUAAUUUUAAAAUUUCGUAUCGAAAAGAAGUUGAUCUGGUAUACAGAUGGAAUAAUUAGGAUAUUAUAUAACUGCAUGGAGAGCAGCUUAAUUAAUUUAUUAAGAACCCUAGCUAUAUAUAAGUGAAUAAAAUAUCGAAAGGUCAUAGCUGCAUAUGUAUUAAUUAAUACUAUAAUCAUAAUUGUUUGUGAAUUAGAUGCACACAAAUAUAUGCAGAGAGAGAGAGAGAGAAUUGGAUUGACUUGUGUGAUCGAGGGAGAGACCCACAAAUUAAAGGUUUGUUUGUUUGGUAGUGGUGGUGUGGAAUUAGCAACCAAAAUAAACCCACAUUAUAUUACCUUCUAAUUCUCGAAUUCUUCCAUACUCCCAAAUAUUCCCUUCUAAUCUUUCAACAACUUUGUCUGCCAUCUUAGGUUUUAUUAUGUCCUCCUCCACUGAUUAAUAUUAUCAAACUGUUGUUUUAAUUUAUGGGUUGUAUUUUGCAAAACCCUAGGUUGGAUCGGAUCAAUGCCAAUAUUUUAAUAUUUAUAUUUGUAUAGCUCAUUAUAUAAAUAAAAAAAAUGAUCCAAUAAAAAGGCUAUUUCGUGAGAAUGAUAAUUGAUAGAAUGAAUAAGUAUGUAAAAUAUGUGAAUAAACUUUUCAUAAUACUCGAUUAAUCAUUUAAAUUUGGAUUUGAAUUUUGGAGAGGACGAAAAUUUUACUAUAUUAUCUGGAUACGUUAUAUAUAUAUUAAGCAACUUAUUCAUGAAUUUAUACCGAUUUAUUCGGUAAACUCAUUUCUCACGAAAAAUAGCAUCCUCACUAUAACUUAAACCUAUAUAUAUAAAGAGACAGAGAGGUUCAAAUUACUUAAACUGAGAACGAAGAAUCAUUCUUAACCUUUCGAUCGUGAUAUUCUAUGAUUGAUGUAGCAUCUUGAUGAAUGUAUGCAACACCUGAGUUCAAAUUCUGAAAGUAGCGAAGGUAUAUUUUUUUUAGUGCAAUAAAUUUAGCAGCGGGUACAUUAAUUUUUACAACAUAUGAAGUGAUUAUACUAGUUCUCACAUUUUUACGAAAAUUAUAGUUCUCACUAAAACCACACACACUAUAUAUAUUACCUGGGUUCGAAUCUUGGAAGAGCAAAAAUUUUAUUAUGCAGUCAUUAUAAGCAGCUUAUUCAAUACUAUAUGCUGACUUACGCAUUAUUGUUAUUUCUUACGAAAUAUAGCAUUAAAAGUUUAUUAUAAUGAAAAUCGCAAUUUAAAAUGAGAACUGAGAACACUGCACUGACUUAUAAAUUACUAUAUUUACUGUGCAAUUAACUGUACCCAGAAAAAAAAAUCGCUUCCAUUUAAAUUCGAAUUUGAGAUGAUGCAUCAUCCAUCAAAAUGAAAUAUCUAUUAUAAAUAAUCAUGAUCCAAAGAUAAUAAUUAUUCUACGGUCUUAUUUUAAAUUAUUUAAACUUCUCCGUAUACAUAUGUAUAGAUAUAGAUAUAUAGCAUGCAGUUUGAACUUUGAAUGCUGUAGGGGUCUUGGAUUGAAUAAUGAAUGCUUUAUGCUUUGCACCUAGCUAGUCUGUCAAUGAUUAUUGAAUGAUGAGGUUAUGAGGUUAUGGGUGCGCUUUGUGUACAUCGGGUGCAGCGUUACGAUUCAUUUAUGUUGGCAUGCAUAUAUCUUUGUUCUGGAUAUUAGCCACCGUGCUUUCUUAAUAUUUUUUCUUAAAGCAUUACCUUCUAUGACUCAAUAAAUCUGUGCACCUAUAUUGUGAUCACUUAUAAAUUAAUUUAAUAAAAAAAAUUAUUUAUUUAAGUUAUAUUUUAAAAUUAAAAAAAAUUAAUUAUUCUAAUGUGCUAUCUAUAUUGUACCUAUUUUUAAUUAUUAUUUUUUGUAUUUUUAUUUUUUUAAAUAAAAAAGUUACAAAACAAAAUAACUACAAUAUGGACAAUACAGUAAAAUAAUUAAAUCUUAUUUUUAUUUUAAAAACUAAGUUGAAUAAAUCAAAAAUAUUAUUAUUUAACUAUUUUAUUUGUUGCUACAACAUGACUGUUUAGCAUUGCUCUUAUAAAUUAUGUCUUGCAAGCUUCACGGAGAUUUGAACUCCAAUAUUCCCGAUCAUUUAAAUAUUUAUUUGUAGAUCCCCCCCCCCCCCACCACAUAUAUAUAUAUAUGGAAGAGUUCAAUAGAGAACAACAAAUAUUCAAAGAACAAAGAACAUUGAACAUGUCAAUCAUUGAACGUUAAACGUUCGUACAAAUAAUUUUAUUGAACGUUGAACGGAUUUAUNCCGCAAUUAAGUCGAAGCCACUUAACAGGUUACGCGUCUAAAAUGUGGCGGAUUUAUCUUUGCUUUAUCUCUUCAAUCACACAAUGUGCGACGCCGCCGGCCUUUUCCAAUUUCUCUCUGCCGUCGGCGAACUUGCUCGCGGCGCGGCAGUUCCUUCUAUCAUGCCGGUGUGGGAAAGGCAUCUCCUCUCCGCUCGUCAGCCACCGCGCGUGUCGUUCCCACCGUGAAUUUGAUGAUGAUGUCGCAAGUGGCGAAACCCCCAUCCCGGUGAAGAAAUGGUGGAGCGCUCCUUCUUCUAGUUUUUUUUCGCCGCCGACCAUCUCGAGCCUCCGCCGCCAGCCUACCGCCACAUCUCCAGAGCUGCACCAGAUUCGAAAUCGUGGCAGGUUGCGCCUGGCGCUGCCGGACAAUCGCUCUCUCUCCCAAACCUGAUGAAGAGGUUAGGUUCUCAUGCGUUGUGAAUUUGCGGAAGCGAAUGAAGCCUCCGCUUCCAGUGGGAUACUACGGCAACGUUAUAGCUGCCCCACUGGCUGUCACAACUGCUGAGGAAAUAUCAAAAAAGCCGCUGCAGUUCGCGGUGGAGCUGGUGAGGAAAGCCAAAGAGGAAGCAACGGAUGAGUACCUGAGAUCUUUGAUAGAUCUGAUGGUGAUGAGAGGUCGCCCCAUAUACGCGCCACGUAACAAUUACAUGGUGUCGGACUUGACGCAUGGGGGUUUCGAGCAAGUGGAUGUUGGGUGGGGCACGGCGGCGUAUGGUGGGAUCUCGAUAGGCGUAAGUGGGGCGACUUGGUACAUACCCUUUAAGAAUGGCAUAGUGGUUCCUGUUUGCCUACCGCUCAAAUCAAUGCAAGUCUUCCACAAACAGCUUCAGAUGAUGAUGGCUGCUGCUCGAACAACUUCAGCUUUGUAAUAAAUUAUAUCUACUGUUGUCUACACAUAUAUUUUAUUCUCUAAAUGUUGCUGGGAUGAAGUUCACACAAAUCCUGCUUAUCGAACUUCAUAAUAAUGUAUUGUUUUUCCUCAAUAAAUUUUAAGGACGAUUUAUAAUUUUAGGAUUUAUAGAUAAAUCAACAAAAGAAUAAAAUGCGCUAAAAAUAUAAAUAAUAGUAACAAUUCCAACAAAGGAUUCAUUAAAGUUUUAAGCAAAAUUGAGGAGUUUUAUGCUUCGUUAUUAUUAAUUUUUGUUACGUAAUUUCACUUUUAUCAGGUCAUAAUUCAUUUCUAGCUAGGUUGCAAUUCAAGUUGGGUAUAUUCAUUCUAUCCAUGAAAAGUGAGGUAUUAAUUUUUAGUAAUUUGGUUCAUCCACAUUUUGUGGUGUUCCUAUAAUGUAAUAGUGAGACCCAUUCCGCAUACAUACAUAUAUACAUACAUACAAGAAAAAUCGCUUCUAUAGUGUAACCUUGUGAAAGGCUAACUUUAUGUGCAAACUGGUCUUAACUAGUGGAGUACUAAGUGGAUCCUUAAUCUCAUAUCUUUGUUUCUAUGUUAUAACAUCUAUGUUAAACGUUUCUAUCUUAUCAGUCUUUACUCAAAUCGAUCAAGCGAAGCUAUCACGACUAACAUUUCCAAGGCAAUCUUAAGUGGUACUCAGACAUUUGCAAGAGGACCUAUCGUUAUAAUCGUAUAGGCAGUGAACCUAGGGAAAAACCUUGUAAAAACCGAAUAAAAGAGAUAACAAUCAGGCAUCGCCCCUUUGGAUGAAGAAAGACAGAUAUCCAAUUGAUACAAAUCAAUCAACAAACAUAACAAACUUCAGGAUCAUAAGCUUAGUUUCAUGCUUCAGAUAACAAAUAUUCAUUAAUCAAAAUACUUGAGAGUCAAUAGUCUAGGCUCAACAAAAGAUAUCGUUUAGAGUCAUAACAUAAAGGUUUUAAGUCAAAGAAACGAAAGACAGAUAAAGGUUAGUACUACAGCAGAAGUCAAAACACGGAGUUGAACCCUAGCCUUAGCUCUGCCUCGUCAACACCAACCAUCAACCUGAAAAAUAUUUGAAAGUAUUUGGGCUAAGUACUAAUGUACUUGAGCUGCAUCUUUUAAAACAUUUCACAAUUCGUAAGAGCAGUUUAUCCAAUUAUACUGACAUGGCUUAGAAGGUUUUAAAGUAAAAUAACUUCUAACCAUGUUAAAACAUUUCAUAUAUAUACUCCCUCCGUCCCACCAUUUUAGUCCCUUAUUUCAUUUUGAGAUGUCCCAAAAAGAUAGUCCACUUUUCUAAUUAAUACUAUAUAAAAAUAUUGUUUUUACUAAAUUAACCUUAUUUAAUGCUUCACUUAAAUGUGAAAAGAAUGUGUGAAAAUAAUAAAUAAGGGUAUAAAAGAUAAAAAUAUAAAAAUUAAAUGCAUUUUCUUAAUAUGUGUGAAAAGUAGGAGGGGACUAAAAUGGUGGGACGGAGGGAGUAUAUAUAUAUAUAUAGGGUCGCAUUCAAUGGAGACCACUUCCUUAGAUAAAGAAUAAAGACCAAAUCAAGGCCAUUCAUCUCACUCCAAUCAACGGUUCAUCUAAUUUCCUAAUUUGAUUUUACAUGUAAUUAAAUAUUGAUUAAUUACAUUUAUUUAAUCCAAAAAGGGCAAAUAAGUCCACUCAAAUCUACUGAAAUAUGGGAUCCCGUUGAACAAAUCCCGAAAAUUUCUCUUUUCCCAAUAUGAGACCUGAUCCGUCAAUGAACAUAAUAUGUGAACAUUAGUAUGUUCAUUGUUUUCCUAUGAACAUUUCGACGAACAUCAGUAUGUUCAUUGGUUUUUCUACGAACAUAUUGAUGAAUAUCAAUAUGUUCAUUGGUUUUUCUACGAACAUAUCGACGAACAUCAGUAUAUUCAUUGGUUUUUCUACGAACAUCAGUAUGUUCAUUGAUAUUUUCUACGAACACUUCAUUGACGAUAUGCAGAUCUGCAAAUCCGGCGGCGGCGCGGCGCGGCAGUCACCACCACGAGCGUUCUACCAUCGCCGUCUUCAUCGGCUUCACCCGACGCCGGGGCAUCACGAGCACAGCCUGCGACGCCGGCGGAGCAGCAGGAGGAGGAGGAGGAGAUGGAGGCGAUUGGGGAGGGAGGCGGUGGAAGGGAGAAUGGAGGGGAUGGCAGCGGAGCAGCAGGAGAAGGAGGAUGAAAUGGAGGCGAGGAGCUCCUUCUGUACAUACCCUCGUCGGAGACGAAUAGCUCCUUCUGGCAUAUACAGCCUCAUCGAAAUUACCUUGAGAUUCCAUGGCAUAAAUUCGAAACAGGGUGAAGAAGGAAAGCCACGGCACAUUGGGAAAUAAGCAUUAUUGACUUAACUACCAUAUCCCACUUAUUACUCUUCCGUAAAUAUAAUAAUUGAUUGUAUCUAAUUUAUGAAAUAAAUGGAUAUGCUGAGAUUGAAAUUACAUAGCUAUCCUUUUAUCAUAAAAUGGACGUAAAUCAUAGAUUGUUGAUCAGCGCAAUUAUUGACCGUUAGAUUGCCCAGAAUCGACGUACAGGAUUUGGUCUUCGUUCUUUGAAAUCUUGGUGGUCUCUAUAGAACUCCACCCUAUAUAUAUAUAUAUAUAUAUAUAUAGAGUUUUGAUAUGUUGGGCGACUCAACAUGAGCGACUUCUUGGGCGCCAGCAUACACGUCAGAUUUUUAAUUCCUUUUCUUCGAUUUCUUUUUUUUCCUUCGUUUUAUUUCCAUCUCUUUUUUUCCUACUUUUUUCUUUUCUUUUUGAAUUUAUUUUGUCUUUUUCUUUCUUCGUACUUUUUCAACCUACAUGUUCCUCUAUGUAUAGAAAAAAAUAAUUGUUUAUUAAUUUUCUUUAAUUUUGAAAAUAACCGUAAAGAAGUGAUGAGUAGAAACAUUGAUAUAUUUCUCUCUCUUACCCCAUUCCUCAAUUAGAAUUUACUUAAUUAUAUCAUAUUUGAAUCUGUUUGGUAUUUUGACAUAAUCAUUCUACCUUUAUUAAAUGAAAAUUAGGGACAAUCAAAAAUCAAGAUAUCGAUGAAAACACAUACAAGAUCUAAAAAUUAAUGUUACAAUUUUUGGAUGGGAAGUGUAUGCAUAUAUAGAGUGUAAGGACGAAGAAGACGAAAGCAAGUAACAACAAAUAAAAAGGAAUAAUCUUAAUUAAUUUUCAAUUAUCGCAAAAGAAAGAAGAAGGUGUUGGUCUGAAAAAAUGAAUGAGGCACUGGAAAAGUACAAAAGAAAGAGAAGAAAAAAUAAUAUAAUAAAAGGAAAAGAAGAAAACAUAAGGAAAUGAAUUAAGAAAAAUCUGACGCGUAUGCUGGCGCUCAAGAAGUCGCUCAUAUUGAGUCGCCCAGCAUAUCAAAACUCUAUAUAUAUAUAUAUAUAUAUAAUAAAGAGAGACCAGAGACAAAGGAAACAAGCAAAAGCACCCGCAAGAAACCCCGGGUAACCAAAAAAAGAAACCAAGACUAAGAGAACAUUUUAAGAGGGUCGUCCUCGUCUAAAACAUCGUCAUCGUCAUCGUCCAACAUAUCGCCCCAUUUUUUAGAGGCCACAACCGACAUAGCAUGGGCUGCAUCGGUAGAGUUAGAGGAGUUGAUCACAAAGUUUUGCAGAAUCUGUCCUCUAGACUGAGCAUACUUCACUUUAUUCAGGAACUCCACAGGCGGAGAAGUGUCAAGACCAGGGCCCUGCAUAUCAUCACGGCGUGCUGAGUUUUGGAAAUCCGAGGACAUGCCAUUCAUUAUGAUACGACGGAGCCUGUGCUUGAUAGAAGAAUCAGAAACUCUCCCCUUCUUGUUGAUAGCCCCUUUCGGACGCCCUCGUCUACGAGAACUGGGUCCUGUCGUCCCAGUCAAAGUUAGCAAAUCGUUGUUGUCAGUCAUCACAGCAAGCGGCUGAACAACCAAAGGUGCAGAAGUCCUCUCGUGUUCCUGGUCCACUACCUCAAUUUGGCUCUUUUCGUCAUCUGACUCAAGCUGUUCCAUAUCCUUUCUAUCCUGAUUGUCCUGAUAGAUGCAAGCAUCUGAAGCUCGGCCUCCAUCAGAUGGCGGCUUUUCCAUGUUAUCAUCACAAACAAGUCUAUGUUCAUCUUGCAACUCUAGAGAAACCAACACAGCAAAGGGGUUGGAUGAGGUAGGAGAGUCUGAAGAAGAGUUCAGUUUCUGUCCAACCUCAGCAAAAGCCUUUCCAGCCCUUGCUGGAGAUUCCUGAUUUCCGGUGUAGGGACGAGGAUGAACCCUGUGGUCAUCUACCUUGGACUGACCACGUUCCCGACCCUGAUGUUCCGUAAAGCCCUCCUCUGUCGUGGUUGUUUUCCUCCUUCUGCAUUCGUUAGAAUAUGUCCCACAACCUUGCAAACCGAGCAGUAAUAAGGCAAAUUCUCAUAUACAAACUUGACAGUAAAAUCAAUGUCGCCACACUUAAUAUCUAAAGCCUCAGGAAUAUCAGCCGAAACAUCUAACUCAACAAGAAUUCUAGCAAAGUGACCCACAUGAGCCUGUGCAGACUGACCAUCAAUCAAGAUAGGCGUACCCAUUCUCGUGCGAUCCCGGAAAGAACCUCUGGGUGCCAAUAUUCAUGUGGCAAGUUAAAGAUUCUAAUCCAUACGUGAACAAGGGUAGAAUGCGCUUUGUAGGGAUCAAAAUUCGGCACCCAAGCCUGGAGAUGAAGUAUACCUGAGCGUAGACGCCAAGUCAUUUUAGCGAAAGCCGCUGCCCUAUCCUCGUCGGUGGUGAAUUAAAAGUGAAGUAACCUUUUCCGAGAGGAUGAAUCGACCAACCACAAGACGGUUUCCAAAGCUGCUGAAGUUCCUCCCAAAGAUCCCCUGCAAACCGAGGUGACUCACCUUUUGCGGAGGAUCAGCCGGCCGUGAACCGCAUGGGCAAACGCCGGACUUGUCGUUGGUGGAAAGAGGCUCUAAAACAAGACAACGUUUGAGAUCCACCAACUCAGGCCGAAGGAUUGUAAAGUCAUGAGCGGGGACGUCCCUAGGCUUGGAAACUUGCUCGGUCGGACUGCCAUCCCUAGCUUUCAGUUUAUCUGCAAAAGAGACCGGCGACACCUUCGAAGCAGACGAUGGACUGACCACAUUCGAAUGGGCAGUCCCGAUCGAGCGAGGCGGGAUCAGGCCCUUAGGACCAUCGGCCUGAGUAGAGACGCCGACAGUAUGGGCAGUCAUCACCGCAGCGAUUUCCGGGAAUGAAACAUCAGCAGUAACUCUAGCAGCCUCCGCCGAACUAUCUGUGACCGUGAUGCUCGGAGGCAUCGUGAUCCCAGACUCGGGGAAGAGAAGCGCCGUCAUUACUNCCGGUUAAACCGAUUAACCGGUUUAUUUUAUAUUAAAUAAUUAGUUUAUAUUUUAAUAUUUUAAUUUAAAUAAGACAUUAAUAUUCAAGUAUCUAUAAAUUUUUUUUGUUCUAAAUUAUCACAAGUUAUGAAUUGUUGCAGUGGAUAAGACCUUUUUCUUUCUUUCAAAGGUCAAGAGUUCAAAUCCUAUUGCACACAUUCUAUAAAAACCGGUUAAUUCGGUUAACCGGUUAAAUUCAGACAAUGAAUUAUCGGUUAACCGGUUAGGGAAAUGGCCCUUAACCGGUUCCGGUUAAUCGGUAAACCCUACUUAGGAUCACUCAUGCAUAAAUACCCACCGGAAAAUUUAUGUACAAAGAAAUAAAUCCUGAGUGAGGUAUAUGGCACGUUUAACCUUUCUACCCGUCGGUAUAAGGCCCGGUCAUCACAAAGUAAGACAAACUCACACCAAGGAGUGACUUGCCACUGAUCAUCCUUGGUUGGUAACCUCAAGAGAAUAAUUAACACAAAAAUUUAAACAAAUUAAUAAUAGAAAAACAUAUUCCGUACAUAAAGAAGAUAAAUAAGGAGUUUCAUAUGAAUAACAAAAAAAUAAAAAUAAAACAACAAAAAAAAGCAAAAAAAUAAAUAAAUAAACUAUCGUGAUGAACAGUACCCCGCUUCAUGUGUCGGGCUAUCGUUCACAAACUCUACAUUUUGGCGUAAAAUGGAGUGCUGCUGGAGGAAGCCUAUCACUGCAAACUAGCGGUUUACUCUAUUUUAGAGUGCCGCUGCAGUUGCUCUUAGCAUGCAACUUCAUGUCUUAAGCAAGAAAUUUGGAUUUUUUGUUACCUUUGCAAAAUAUAAUCCACCCGUUAUCCUGGUAUUGAAAUAAAAAGGAUGGACUAAAGGUAUUAACUGCCUCAUGUAGCUGGUCCUACAGCACUAGUCUAGCCUAUAAAUUCUAUUUCAUAUAUUAACUGUUCCCUAUUCAAAUUAGCAGCUCAACUAUUUUGAGCUAGUAUUCGUUAGUUAUUUUGUUAGUCAUGGCUAUUCCUUAUUUUAGCAAUUCUUGUUGAGUAGAUCGUGUCACCUCAAGUAGCUAGCUAGGAUUUCUGAUUUUAUGUUGAGAUAUAUCUUUCCUUUGUAUUCUUCAUGCUUAGAGGGCUUAUAAAUAGCACCUCAUAUCAGAUACAUAUAUAUCAGCUUUUGGAGUCUUCUAAUAUAACGUUGCAUAUAUUUGUUCCUUUCUUUUUGUGUUCUCUGCUUCUUGUUCCCAACAGACUCUGGGUCUACCUAUUCCAGAGGAACUUUUUAACUCAACUGAUGUUCCAUGUAAAUUAAGGAUAUUUAGGUUAUGACUUAGAAAAUAUUAUUUGUUCUUGAUUGGCAAGAGACAAUUUAAUUAAGACAGAAUUCUAAAAAGCUAUUUUCAAAGUUCAAAGUGUUUCUUAAAACCAUGUAUAAAUAACAUGUUAUGUUUGUUGGCCUUAGUUAUGAUUACUAUAUGUAUGUAUAUGCAUCAUGAAUAGCACCACACAAGAUAUCAUAUUACAAUACACAAUCAAGCACAGAAUCUUGAAAUAAAGUAGCAAAAUUCUUGACAAUAUAUUUGACUGUAAUAACAAGCAAACUUCUAAUGGCCUCUAAAAGACAUUCUGGAAACCUUGUAACAAGAACUAAACUCUCCAAUUUGAAUAACUCAAAAAUGAGUUUUGAGGUGAGAGUUAUGCCUCAAAGUAUGCCCCUUGAAAGUAUGUAGUUUCAAGGUGUUAAGUUCGGUCUCCAGAAAGGAUACUUAACCUUGCUGGAUUACCUUAAAAUUUGGUAUGUUAAAACCUCAUAUAUCAAACUAAGUGUGGUAAAAAUGUCAAAGCAAAAUCAAUCAUUUGAGCCACCAAAAGUUCAUCCCAAAAUAGGGGCUGAAACUGUCUCCCAUUUUUGCGACUAUACUUGACAGCACCAAAACCCAUUAUGGAGUUUAUGAAAAUUUAUGAGAUUUGGCAUGCACCAAUUUCACGUAUUUAAUAAGACACUGACCAAACUUCGAGAUUAAACUCAUCCAUUUAGGCCUAGUUUGGUAGCAUUGGUUGGAUUGGGCUUGGUUGUUUUAAACUAGAGGGCCCAUUGUUGGUAAGGCAUGACUAAUAGCAUUUUCUUGUGUUUGAUAGGUUGGUUUGAAUGUUAGAUUAAUAUUUUCAAGUGUUCGGUAGUCAAGUCUAUUCGCAGGUUUCAUCAUUGAAAUUACAAGCUUGUCCUUAAAACUUAUUCCAAAUGCCCAGUGUACCCCUCAUUUCUGCAUUUCAAUUUCGUCGUAUGAGAAGAUGGAAAUAUGAGAGCAAAAUCCAUUUCAUUGUACAAACAAUUGAGUGAAAGAUAAAAGUUCUAUCGUGUUAUGAUCACAAGUUGAACCAAUAUAAAGCCAUAUUCCAUCAUUGCAUUAUUCCCUCUAAAAAAUAAGACAAAACAAAAUCAUCAUUAUAUUCGUUCCAAAAUACCACAAAAUGAGGUUAACUCAAAAUGUGAAUACACAAACACAUCAAGAUUAUUCUUGUUCAUCACAAACACAAAAAACAAAACUAGCAAAGAAAAAAAUGCAGCAAUAACAAACUAACAAAAGUCUGUCAACUUGAGGUGGUUGUUGCUGACUGCAAAGUUUUGCUGCUCUCCGUUUCUCUAUCCUCGAUGAAGUAAUCCUGAAGAGCCGUCAUCUCGAUCUUGUUCGAUCUCAAGCUCUUGAUCGCCGCUGCAGUUGCUAGGGCGCCCUCCAC
rnacentral:lncRNA from 1 species